UACGUAGGGUGCGAACGUUGUCCGGAAUCAUUGGGCGUAAAGAGCGUGUAGGCGGUCCGGUAAGUCCGCUGUGAAAGUCGGGGGCUCAACCCUCGAAUGCCGGUGGAUACUGUCGGGCUAGAGUGCGGAAGAGGCGAGUGGAGUUCCUGGUGUAGCGGUGAAAUGCGCAGAUAUCAGGAGGAACACCUAUUGCGAAGGCAGCUCGCUGGGACGUAACUGACGCUGAGACGCGAAAGCGUGGGGAGCAAACAGG
rnacentral:rRNA from 1 species